rnacentral:rRNA from 1 species
UACGUAGGGCGCAAGCGUGUCCGGAAUUAUUGGGCGUAAAGAGCUCGUAGGCGGCCUGUUACGUCUGCUGUGAAAUCCCGGGGCUUAACCCCGGGCGUGCAGUGGAUACGGGGCAGGCUGGAGGCAGGCAGGGGACGAACGGAAUUCCCGGUGUAGCGGUGAAAUGGCGCAGAUAUCGGGAGGAACACCGGUGGCGAAGGCGGUUCUCUGGGCCUGUACUGACGCUGAGGAGCGAAAGCGUGGGGAGCGAACAGG